UGGACCAGUGAUGACAGCCGCCGGCAUGUAAGCAUUAGGUGAUGGAUAAUACGUAUCUGGAGCUCUGAGGUCCAA